rnacentral:rRNA from 1 species
AACGAACGCUGGCGGCAGGCCUAACACAUGCAAGUCGAACGCUCGUAGCAAAUACGGGGAGAGGCAGACGGGUGAGUAACACGUGGGAACGUGCCCUUUGGUUCGGAACAACUCCGGGAAAACUGGAGCUAAAUACCGGAUAAGCCCUUACGGGGAAAGAUUUAUCGCCAAAAGGAUCGGCCCGCGUCUGAUUAGCUAGUUGGCGGGGUAAUGGCCCACCAAGGCGACGAUCAGUAGCUGGUCUGAGAGGAUGACCAGCCACACUGGGACUGAGACACGGCCCAGACUCCUACGGGAGGCAGCAGUGGGGAAUAUUGGACAAUGGGCGC